ensembl:lincRNA
GGAGAUUUGCUACUGUGAUGCGGAGAAAGUUGGACGUAUGUAACCGAGGAGGGUUACCCUCAGUGGGAGGUGCAAGCCGCCGAACAGCUCAACAGAGACAACACGCGGAAGAUAUCUAUGUAAGCCCAGACAGAAGCCCUUGAACAGGGGGCGCUGAUUCAACACAGGACCAAAGGCAACAGGACUGAGUGAACAUGGACUGAAACCCCCCAUAGCCAGCGAAGGGAACCGCCACAUUGGCUUGCACAUGCGCAAAAUGAAGGGAGUUGCACCUCUCCGCACCUGCACGCAAGUCUGUUCAAAGUGGACCAAAGACCGCUGAAUUCGUGCUCAAUGAUUCUCAUGGUUCCGUGAUGGUGCUGAAUCCAGGUGGGAAAGCAGAAUGCUGUGCAUGGGAGGCAGCUUUGGCAUUUCACAUACCAUGGACAGAGAAUACACGGAGGGAAUCACGAGGGCGAGGUACUAUUUGAAAAACAAGGCAACUGGAAGACUUUGCUCAGAGGAAGGUACCCAGGAGCUGCUGCGCAAGAGCCAAAUCUCGCUUCUUCAGCUCAGCACCGUGGAGGUCGCCAUGCAGCUCUCCACGAGUUCCAAUGUUGAAUUCUUCCACAACAUUGAGCCUAAUGAAUACAUAGGUGAUUUAUUUAAACUCAAAUAAAAAACCAGCUUAGCCAACCUGAAGAAACUUGAGGAAGUCUUUAACCAGGAAACAUUUGGGUGGCUUCUGAAAUCCUGCGAGAGACAACUAGCUGAAAGAGAAUGAAGAUCUUCAAGCUUUUCAUUAAGAUUGCCUCGCACUGUAGGGGAUGCAAGAAUUUUAACUCCAUGUUUGCAGUCAUCAGGUAAGAGGACCUGUCCUAUGUGAAGCUGACUCUACAGAUUUAACUAUAUAUAUAUACACUAGUUUUGGAAUACUAUAUAAUUAUAGAAAUAUUGACU